CAGCUCGUCGGCAGUCGGCUGGGUGCGAGUCUUCGUUGAGUCGGUGUGACCCGAGUAAUCUCGGGCGCGCUCGCACCCACGCUGGCGCCGGCGGGCGCAUUUCGCCUCGUAGUAGGGCGCCGCGACCCGUUGCUAGGGACGUCUAUGGCCCCGGUGGAUUGGUAACCUACCUUCGACGAGUGCAGCCUCCUCCUGGUGCUGCUGCUGCUGCUGCUGCUGCUUCUUCUUCUCCUCCACCUCGGAGGCUGAGGCGGAGGCGGCGGCGGCGGCGGCGACAUCAGCGUCGGCGGCUGCUUAGGCGCGAGGUAGGCGAAACCGCCGUUGGUGAUCCUGACUGCCCUGCGACGGUCGUAGAGACGAGUCCUUAUCCCCAUUCGUGGGGAGGGGGUUGCUCUCGCGGCGUGCAAAAAGAUCGGUGAUCCAUCCGACCCGUCUUGAAACACGGACCAAGGAGUCUAACAUGUGUGCGAGUCAGUGGGCUCACUAAACCCAAAGGCGUAAUGAAAGUGAAAACAUAAAACCGAGUCCGGCGCGCGCGUCUUUCAAUGGUGCGGGAGCCGGAAGCAUCUCGGAGGGCCGAUCCGUCGCCUCCUCCUUCUUCCGCCCCUCCACCGGCCUCUGCUGGUGGGGGGAUGUCUUUGGAGGAGAUUGCGUGGGCGCAGGCCCGGGACUUGCCAAGACGCCGCGAGGACCACACCGCCUUCUUCCGUCAGCGAGGUUGGAGAUGAUAUAGACGAUGAUUGAUGAUGACGCCGUCAUCCUCUCAAUAUAUCUCUCUCUCUCUCUCUCAGCCGAGCGGCGGUAGCGGGUGGGGGUGACGAUGAUGCGUGCAGUCGGCAAGUACCACGAGCAGACAUGUUGGUACCCGAAAGAUGGUGAACUAUGCCUGGCCAGGAUGAAGCCAGAGGAAACUCUGGUGGAGGUCCGUAGCGAUUCUGACGUGCAAAUCGAUCGUCU
rnacentral:rRNA from 1 species